AUGGCCCUCCUCGCCGCCGCUCGCCGCGCCUCCGCCGUGAUCCGUCCUAGGGUCGCGGCUGCGACCUUCUCCUCGACAAAGCGGAGCUCCUCCUCCUUCUCCGUCUGUGCCCUCCGCGCCAAGGUGGACUCCUGCCGCGACGAGGCCACCGUGCACCGCACCAACGCUACCCCCCUCCGCGCCCACGCCGAAUCUGUCAACGCCACCAUCCACGACUGGGAGGUCAUCGACGUCAUCGACUCCGUGAUGCGGUCCCGCGACAGUGGCCUGGUUGACGGGAUUCCUAGUGACUUCCCAUUCGAAAUCCUCAAAGAGGAGGGGCUUAAAGACAUAACUCUUACAAGAAGUUUGAAGGGUGAGCAGAUUGAGGUCGUGGUUUCCAUGCUCAAACCAGACGGGGACGAGGAGGAAUCCUCCGAUUCUAGGUAUACAUCGGAUGAAGACGAAGGGGACAGUAGCAUGCCUCUCAUGGUCACGGUUUCCAAGGCCGAUGGAUCAAACCUUAAAUUCACCUGCACUGCCUAUCCUGACAAUGGCAACAUCUUCAUCGAUACCUUGUCCGUGAGACUCCCACCAUCAGGGGCCAUGGGACAUGAGGAAGAUGAUCGUGGUUUCAGUGAGCUGGAUGAGACCCUGCAGGAGGCACGCAGUGAGCUGGAUGACAACCUACAGGAGACAUUCCGCAAGUAUCUGGAGCUGCGUGGGGUCACUCCCAUGAACAUGAAGUUGUUGCACCAGUACUUGAUCAGCAAGGACAUACUCUGCAAUCAACUAUGGCUGACCAAGCUGCGGGAUUUCGUCAAGAAAGAUUGA
rnacentral:rRNA from 1 species